UACGUAGGGGGCAAGCGUUGUCCGGAUUUACUGGGCGUAAAGAGCGUGUAGGCGGCCAAGCAGGUCCGUUGUGAAAACUGGAGGCUUAACCUCCAGACGUCGACGGAAACCGCGUGGCUAGAGUCCGGAAGAGGAGAGUGGAAUUCCUGGUGUAGCGGUGAAAUGCGCAGAUAUCAGGAAGAACACCAAUGGCGAAGGCAGCCUCCUGGGCCAACACUGACGCUCAUGCACGAAAGCGUGGGGAGCAAACAGG
rnacentral:rRNA from 1 species